rnacentral:rRNA from 1 species
AUUGAGCGCUGGCGGCAUGCCUUACACAUGCAAGUCGAACGGCAGCGGGGGAGAAGCUUGCUUUUCCUGCCGGCGAGUGGCGAACGGGUGAGUAAUACAUCGGAACGUGCCCUGUAGUGGGGGAUAACUAGUCGAAAGAUUAGCUAAUACCGCAUACGACCUGAGGGUGAAAGUGGGGGACCGCAAGGCCUCAUGCUAUAGGAGCGGCCGACGUCUGAUCAGCUAGUUGGUGGGGUAAAGGCCUACCAGGGCGACGAUCAGUAGCUGGUCUGAGAGGACGAUCAGCCCAACUGGGACUGGGACACGGCCCAGACUCCUACGGGAGGCAGCAGUGGGGAAUUUUGGACAAUGGGCGAAAGCCUGAUCCAGCAAUGCCGCGUGUGUGAAGAAGGCCUUCGGGUUGUAAAGCACUUUUGUCCGGAAAGAAAUGGCUCUGGUUAAUACCUGGGGUCGAUGACGGUACCGGAAGAAUAAGGACCGGCUAACUACGUGCCAGCUGCCGCGGUAA